rnacentral:rRNA from 1 species
UCUAGCACAGCAUCUUGUCAAUACCUGAUCUUGUCUUAUCUCAGAAACUAAGCAGGGUUAAUCCCGGUUAGCACUCGGAUGGGAGACCGCUGGGGAUACAAGAUACCACAU